CUAAACAUGUGAACCCCCUCUAUUAAUUCAGAAUUCCCUAACAGGGUGUAUGAAAAUGAUUUUUUUUUUUUUAUAAAACUAGACAACUCCUUUAAUAAAAGAAGAUCUGGAGAGCAAGCUUAGUAAUGCUAAGCAGGAUUAGCCAUUUGCAUUACACAAUCCCUAAUAUCCUCAAACGUACAGCUUACAGUGACCAGAAAUACACAAACAACUGCUUGCUGUGUGUAGGUCUUUGAGACAUUACAUCUGUCAAAAGAUUAUUUACAGUCUGCACCUUUGAGGAAGAUGAUGAAGCAAAUCUUUCCACCUCUAGAACCCUGACUUUAAUGGCGCAUCCUGUUAGGUUGGAGUGCGUCGAGACCUGACAUCACCAGUCAGUUGUGCAAUGGGAGCCAGUCCUGCUUCAAUGGGUGGAGCGACAGAGAGGUAACAUGUCUCUAUGAAUAUAAAACUGCAAUUCUUGAAGCUAUUUAAACUUACUACUAGUUUUGGGGUCCGUGCCAAAAUCAUAGUCCACUUCCUCCCCAUCGAAGCGGAGCUCACUGGUGUCCAGAUUUUCUAU